UACGUAGGGUCCGAGCGUUGUCCGGAAUUAUUGGGCGUAAAGGGCUCGUAGGCGGUUUGUCGCGUCGGGAGUGAAAACUCAGGGCUCAACCCUGAGCGUGCUUCCGAUACGGGCAGACUAGAGGUAUGCAGGGGAGAACGGAAUUCCUGGUGUAGCGGUGGAAUGCGCAGAUAUCAGGAGGAACACCGGUGGCGAAGGCGGUUCUCUGGGCAUUACCUGACGCUGAGGAGCGAAAGCAUGGGGAGCGAACAGGAUUAGAUACCCCCGUAGUCC
rnacentral:rRNA from 1 species